rnacentral:misc_RNA from 1 species
GCGCAUUGCACAUCACAUUAUAAGAAACCAUCAUAAUUUUUAUAUUUGUUCGAUGGUGAAUACACGAUAUACUACCCAAUGAACAUGGAGGAUGCACUCCUCCAUUACAAUACUAACAUAUAAACAAAAGUAAAGUCACAGUAAUGCAACACAUUUGUUCAUCAAUUUUUGAAGCAUCAAUAACAAAUGCAUUCAACAAAAAGCAGAAUUGUUUAAACGUUCCCCUAUUAACCAAACACUUACACAUAGAGACCACCUUUCAUACCACUUCUUUAGUCGGAGCAGCAGGCUUCUUCAAAUCAUCAUCCACAACUUUAGUCGGAAUCGCCACAUAUCCCAUCUUCUUAGCACUGGUAACAUCAUAAUCGUCAUUUCCGUCCUCGAACUCAUCAUCAGAAUCCUCAAACUCGAAGCGGUUAGGCCAGAAAAGCGACCAGAUCAAAUACAUACUCGCAGCAGUUAACGCACCACAACCCACACCGAAAAGCAAAGCUCCAACAACCCUCAUAAUAUCCUUGGUCCGGUCACGGAUUGAGCUCGUCACCGACGAGUAAAGUUCCACCGGAAUCAUCGACGAUGAUCGGCUCUCCAGUUCCUCUCCAUCUUCCACAUGUUCAACAGCGUCCUCUUGUUCGAAGAAAACCGGGUCGGGUCCACGGAUUAGAAAUGGGUCGGAUCUUCGGAAGAAAACUGAUGGCCUAAGAAGUCCAAAUCUCGGAGCAUCGUCACGGAAACCGGAGGUGGUAACGAAGAAAGCACGGAAUCGAGGAGAAAUAGAGGGGUUACGGAGGAAGAAAUUGGGGUUAGGGUUAGGGUUUCGAGAAAUAGUUGUGGGGAUCUGGUAAUAGGAAGUGGAGGUGAUGAAGAAUAGGGUUUUGCAUGGCCGGGCGGCGGCGGAGACGGCGAGGAGAGAGAAAGCGAGAAGUAGAAGCGCGAAAUUCGAGGACGCCAUUGACGCUUAGAGAGAGAAAGUAAGAGACGAUGAGAAAAUCAAUAAUGACAA